CAGACCUCAACCUCAUCCAACGUCUUUGGGAUGAUCUGGAACGCUGACUGUGAGCCGGAGCUUAUCACCCAACAUCAGUGGCCGACCUCACUUACGCUUAUGUGGCUGAAUGGGAACAAAUCCCUGCAGCCGGGUUCCAAAAUACUGUGCAAAGCCAAAAA